rnacentral:ncRNA from 1 species
AAUAUAUUUUAUUUUAGUAUGUGAAUUUCUUUGUAUCUUUUUUUACAUGUAAUUUUUUUAUUAAUAUAAUUUUUAAUAAUUUAAUUUAAUACAGUAAUUGUAAUUAAAUAUUUAAAUAAAAGUUAAAUUUAGAAAUUGAAUUUUAUUAUGAUUAACAAAUAUUGUGCCAGCAGUUGCGGUUAUUCUAUAAAUCAAAAAGAAAUUUAGUUAUAUAAAUAAUUUUACAAAAUUAAUAAAAUUCAAUUUAAUAUUAUUAGGUAAAAUUUUAAUAUUAAUUAAAAUUUAAAUUAAAAAUUUAUAAUUAUGAAAUUUAUUAAGAAAUAAGGAUUAGAUACCCUUUUAUAAAAAAUUAAAUUAUAUUGGAGUAGUAUUUAUUAUAAAUAUUAAACUCAAAAAAUUUGGCGGUAUUUUAUCUUAUUAGAGGAACCUAUUAUGUAAUUGAUAUUCCACAACUGUACUUACUUUUAUUAUUUUACUUGUAUACCGCUGUCAUGAGUGUAUAAAUAUAUUUAUUUUCUUUAAUUUUUAUAAAAUUUAUGUUAGGUCAAGGUGCAGUUUUUAAAAGUAAUUUAUGGGUUACAUUAAAAAGUAUGAAUGAAUUUUUUUUAAUUUAUAAAAAUGAAAUAGGAUUUAAAAGUAAAUUUAUUAUAAAGUUAUAUAAUGAAUAGAGAUUCUAAAAUAUGUACAUAUUGCCCGUCGCUCUUAUUUAAAAUAAGAUAAGUCGUAACAUAGUAAGUGUACCGGAAGGUGUACUUGGAAAUGA